CACGUGGUAUCCUGUCUGAAUAUGGGGGGACCAUCCUCCAAGGCUAAAUACUCCUGACUGACCGAUAGUGAACCAGUACCGUGAGGGAAAGGCGAAAAGAACCCCGGCGAGGGGAGUGAAAAAGAACCUGAAACCGUGUACGUACAAGCAGUGGGAGCCCCACCACUAAGCCAGUGGUGAACUCCACAUACGCAUCCUUUGCUGAGGAUACGGUUAACGGAGCGAAAGCGACGUUCAACCGCAAAAGAAGCAGAGGGGGCUUAGUGGUGGGGUGACUGCGUACCUUUUGUAUAAUGGGUCAGCGACUUAUAUUCUGUAGCAAGGUUAACCGCAUAGGGGAGCCGGAGGGAAACCGAGUCUUAACCGGGCGUUAAGUUGCAGGGUAUAGACCCGAAACCCGGUGAUCUAGCCAUGGGCAGGUUGAAGGUUGGGUAACACUAACUGGAGGACCGAACCGACUAAUGUUGAAAAAUUAGCGGAUGACCUGUGGCUGGGGG
rnacentral:rRNA from 1 species